rnacentral:lncRNA from 1 species
UUUGCAAGGGUAUCUAUAAUACUUCUAAUCUUCCGAAGGGUAUGAAUGAAAUUACCCUAACUUUUAUAUAUGCGCUCAAUUUUCUUCGCUGAACUCUUAUCCAUUUUUAAAUUCCCCUACUCUCUCCUCCCUCUUCUUCAAACACCCUUCUCUCUCUCUACUUCGCUUUUUCUUUCUGUUAGGAUUUGAUUAGAUUUGUAGUUGAUUUUCUUAUUGUAUUAGGAUUAAUAUUUAAAUCUGUUGAAGAUAAAUUAAGAUUUAAAUAUUAAUUAGAAGAUAAACCUAACUAUAUUAGGAUUAAUAUUUAAAUCUAUUAGAGAUUAAUUAAGAUAGAUUUAGAUAUUAAUUAAAGUAAAAAUCCUAAACAUGUUAGGAUUGAGGUACGUUUUGGUGGAGCUUUAUAAAUAGCUCUUGAUGGGUUGUUUUUGGGGAUGUAUGGCUGGAGCUUUGGGUGUGCCGUAUCAAGAGAGAGAGAGAGAAAGAGUUAUUCAUGCUUUGAGUGCACCUAGUGCACAAGUGCACGAAGAUGUGUUGUCUUUUAGGUUUAUAGAAGACGUGAGAAGGGUAGGAGAGAUUCAAAAAAAGGGCUCGGGUUGUAGUUUCUCAGGUGUAAUCUUUUCUUAUUUAAUGAAUCUUAUUUUACCCGCAUAUUUUUUGUUUUUGGUUUUCUCUCUUUUGUGGUUGUAUCAAUUUUUGCUGAGGAGACGGGUUUAAGGUAAAAACCCGAUUUGACGCUUCCGUUGCGGAA